GAUGAACGCUGGCGGCGUGCUUAACACAUGCAAGUCGAACGGAAAGGCCCAAGCUUGCUUGGGUACUCGAGUGGCGAACGGGUGAGUAACACGUGGGUGAUCUGCCCUGCACUUCGGGAUAAGCCUGGGAAACUGGGUCUAAUACCGGAUAGGACCACAUUUUGGAUGUUGUGGUGGAAAGUUUUUCGGUGUGGGAUGAGCUCGCGGCCUAUCAGCUUGUUGGUGGGGUAAUGGCCUACCAAGGCGUCGACGGGUAGCCGGCCUGCGGGGGUGUAAGGCCACAUUGGGACUGAAGGACGGCCCAGACUCCUACGGGAGGCAGCAGUGGGGAAGAUUGCACAAUGGGCGCAAGCCUGAUGCAGCGACGCCGCGUGGGGGAUGACGGCCUUCGGGUUGUAAACUCCUUUCGCUAGGGACGAAGCGUUAUGUGACGGUACCUGGAGAAGAAGCACCGGCUAACUACGUG
rnacentral:rRNA from 1 species